CGAUCGGGAAACGUUAAAAAAAUUAUCGAACUGCUGAUUCAGCUGGUAACGAAUUUCCGAUAUUAUUAAAGAUUCACAAUACAAAGGGAACUUCCUAUGCUUAAUUGAGUCCCUAAAUAAAUGUGAACAGUUAUGUUUUAUUCAAAAUUAUCGAAAAGCAAAGUUUAAUAUGUGUUCUCGCACGAAUACUGAAUAACAGACGGACGGCCACACGAACAAAAAAAAAAAAAAAACCAAACAAAUACUGAAACGUUUCACUAUCGAUCAAAAAUCCGGA
rnacentral:lncRNA from 1 species